GCUUAAAAAUAUUAUUUGCUCUUAAAAUAAAUUCAUUUAAAAAUUUAAGAAUAAAAAAUUAAACAAUUUAAUUUAAUUUAAUAUUAUAAAAUUUGGUUAAUAAUAGUGCCAGAAUCCUCGGUAAUACUUUAUAAUUUGUAAUAAAAUCUUUAAUUUAAUGUUAAAAUUUAUGACCUUUUUAAAAUUUUUAGUAAAAUAAUCAUUAUUUUAAAAAAUUUUUAACUAAUAUAAAUAGUGUAAAUAACUUGGAUUAGAUACCCAAUUAAUACUAAUUAAACUUAUUAAAGAACUUAUUUUAAUUUAAAACCUAAUUUAGCUGGCAAAACUUAAAUUAUUUGGGAAUUUUGAGAGUAACCGAUAAUCCUCGUUAAUUUUAUUUUAUUUUACUCUAGUAUAGCCGAAUAAAAAUAAUUAAAUUUUUAUAAAAAUUUUUUUUAAUUUCAGGUCUUUAUAAGAUAAAAAUAAAUUUCUUGAAGUUUAAUUUUUAAAAUAAGAAAUUUAAAAUUAAUUUUUAAUUGAAUAAAACUAAAAAGUAAAAUUUUUAAAAAAAAAUAAUUUGAAUAAAAAUAUUGAGUUGGUACAAAUUACCCGUCACCUGAAUUUUAUAGUUGAGCAAGUCGUAGUAUAGUAAGUUUAUUGGAAGAUGAACUUUAUUAA
rnacentral:rRNA from 1 species